AGAGUUUGAUCCUGGCUCAGGAUGAACGCUAGCGGCAGGCCUAAUACAUGCAAGUCGAACGGUAACAUGAGAGCUUGCUCUUGAUGACGAGUGGCGCACGGGUGCGUAACGCGUAUGCAACCUACCCUUUACUGGAGGAUAGCCCGGAGAAAUUCGGAUUAAUACUCCAUAGUACCAUAAUGUAACAUUAUAUAGUGGUUAAAGAUUUAUUGGUAAAGGAUGGGCAUGCGUGACAUUAGUUAGUUGGUAAGGUAACGGCUUACCAAGACGAUGAUGUCUAGGGGUUCUGAGAGGAAGAUCCCCCACACUGGUACUGAGACACGGACCAGACUCCUACGGGAGGCAGCAGUAGGGAAUAUUGGUCAAUGGGCGAGAGCCUGAACCAGCCAUGCCGCGUGCAGGAAGACGGCCUUCUGGGUUGUAAACUGCUUUUAUAUAGGAACAAAGAGGCCAUGCGUGGCAAGUUGAGUGUACUAUAUGAAUAAGCACCGCUAACU
rnacentral:rRNA from 1 species